AAGUCGUAACAAGGUUUCCGUAGGUGAACCUGCGGAAGGAUCAUUAACACGUAUCCAACGUUAAAAACCCCGUGAACCUUCAUCGCCGCUCCUCAUGGCUAAGUCUUGGAUAAAGCCAAACAGCAAUCCCUGCACUCGUCCGAGAAAAUGCAAGAGGAGGGACCUCUGUUUGACAGAGCACUAUGGGUUUAAGAGCGCUUGGUAAGGUGGCUUGUUUUUCCCCAAGCAGUCAGUGAAUGACAGUGUCAUUGAUUGUGUAAGGAUGGCGCAGUAGAGGCCCACACGGCCGGCAACCGGGUCCCAGGGCUCACGCCCCUUUAUCACCCCACAGUUUCCGACUGGGCAGCCGAUAAUAUGGACGCCGUAAAAAACUGAACAACUGUUAACAAUGGAUAUCUUGGUUCUC
rnacentral:misc_RNA from 1 species